GGUAGCUGUGUCUUGAUCCUAAUUCACCAUGUUUCUCAGUAACAAUAUAAUAGUUUUACCGCAGACUUAACCAGUGCAGUAACAGUAUUGAUAUAGAUAAUCCCCAAUCUUUAAAAUUUUCCCAGGAGCAAAGACAACGCGGGGAAAUAGUGUUUUUGAUUCCCAGAGGAGAGAAGCAUCUGUGGUGGCACCGUGGCAGGGACACUGGGUUGUUAUCGGUGAUGGUGCUGGAGCGUGCAUCGUAGAGCCCUUGUGUCGGUGUAAAAGUAACGCUUCACUGUUUAUUUCGAACCUUGAGAGUGUUGCCGUGGAUCAGAACAGGACAGCACAGGGGGUAGGCAGUGGUGGUCCAGGCAGUGAUGGAAGGAGAAGAGAUGUAAUCUUGCCUCACUGCACCACACUAUUUGCCGCACACCACACUGACAUGAGUUAGCACUCCAUGUCACACCACAACUGCCGCCAUGAACAAGCUGAAGCUGCAGAGUCACCAGAAGAACUACAGGGAGGAGGACCUGCUGGUGAAUGUGAAGGAUCUAGGGCCAGAGGUGAAGGCAGGUGAUGUCAUUGAGAUCUACCACCCUGAAGAUGAUCUGCCUCGCCUUCUCCUCAAGAUUCCCUCCACCCUCGAGGACAUCAACCUCCAGAAGGACACCAUUAGCAUCGAGCAGAGCAUUGCUGCCACCUUCCAACUGCGGAACUACAAAGAUGUCAUCGUGAACACCGUGGAGCCCAAGGCGGUAGCGCUGGAGUUGGUGGAGCUGACAUUCAAGGACCAGUACCUCGGCCGCUCAGACAUGUGGAGGCUUAAGAUGCACAUGGUGAACUCAGUGGUGUACCUCAACAAGAAGAUUGAGUUCUGUUCUGGCAGCAUCCGCACACAGGUAUACGAGAUGUGGGCCCAGGGUGGCAAGGUGGCCUGUGGAGUGGUCACGGAGAACACGAAAGUGGUGUAUCGUUCCUCCACCAGCAUGGUCUAUCUCUUCAUCCAAAUGAGCUCCGAGAUGUGGGACUUUGACCUCUAUGGCGACCUGUACUUUGAGAAGGCUGUCAGUGGGUUUCUGUCCGAGCUCUUUGCCAAGUGGAAGAAGGAGAGCAGCAACCAUGACGUGACCAUUGUACUGUUCUCCCGCACCUACUACAAGGCCACCAGCAUUGACGAGUUCCCCACCUACAUGAGGGAGUGCCUGCAGGAGGACUACCGUGGAAGGUUCUAUGAGGACUUCUACAGGGUGGCAGUGCAGAAUGAGCGCUACGAUGACUGGUCUGCCACCCUGACACUGCUGCGCCGCAUGUUCAACAGUUACCUGCCCAGCGUCCUGCAGCACCACCACCAGCCUGGCGUCACGGUGCCCGAGGCUGUCAACUCCUCAGCCUCGCAAGGGAACUUUCUCGAGGUGCUCAAUAUUUCACUCAAUGUGUUUGAGAAGCACUAUCUGGACCGGAGUUUUGACCGCACUGGACAGGUGUCGGUGGUGGUGACGCCGGGAGUGGGGGUGUUUGAAGUGGACCGCGAGCUCACCAACAUCACCAAGCAGCGCAUCAUUGACAACGGCGUGGGCUCAGACCUGGUGUGUGUCGGGGAGCAGCCUCUCCAUGCUGUGCCACUGCUCAAGUUCCACAACAAGAAGGGUGGAGUGAAUGCAGAUGACUACAGCAUGCCACACACCUGGAUCAACCUCAGCUUCUACUCAUCCAAGAAAAAAAUUGGCUAUGGCACUUUCAUCCCCCGCAUUAAGCUACCACCAGAGAAGCCCAAGACAUCAAAGAGGGAACGGCCGGACUGCCUCGCCUCGGCCCCCUGUAUGAAGCCGGCCCUGCAAGACACAGCACUGCCCAACUCCAUCUUUGAUUAUGACUCCUAUGAUGCCCAGGUGUUCAAGUUGCCAAGUAGCCACAACAAUAAGGCAUACCGCAGCCUGCAGCGCCCCACCACCAGGAAGAAGGCACCACAGGGCCACCCACCCUCCUCCUCCGUGCAGCCUAUCACCCGUGUCACCCUGCACCGCAAACUGUCUGACCCUGAUCUGUACAGUGGAGUGGAGCAGAUCUCCACCUCCCUAGUGCCCAUGGGGAGUGGUGUGGGGUCGGUGAUUGACAAGUCCCCGGCCAUCAACAUCCCAGCACGCAUCACGGAAAACAAGAUGUACUCGCAGUCCUUUGGCGCUCUCAAUGUGGAAGGAGUGCAGCGUCCCUGCACACAGGCGCUGUACGAGGGAGAUGAGACGUCCCCCUCACACUCUAAGGUGGGGUCAAGCAACGGUGCCUCACCCUGCGAGAGGACACAGCUCACCAAGAACAAGCCGGUCAGCACACACCGGCCCGGGAGGUCACUCAUCAACCCCUUUGACCCAUCCCACAUGACCAUCAAGCUCACCUCAAACAGAAGGAGAUGGAUUCAUAUAUUUCCCAAAGACCAGACCGGUGUCUUGAUCCAGCAGCAUCACUACCAGGUGAGCAGCCGGGCUAGAGGCAACAAUUCCUCCUCCUCACCGCUGCCAACACCUGACGGGGACACCACUUACCUCACACACCUCCACCACCACCACCACUUUGCCUCCACACCCACCAAGAAUGGCCCAGCUUCUCCCAGUGCUGAGUUUAGGAUGUACAACGGCUCAGGCAUGGUGGAGGUGAAUGGUAUGCGUCCCCGGAACCUCAACACUCAGCACAGUCAGGAGAGUAUCAAUGGAGUGAGGAGAGAGAGUAGGCCACGCACCACCUCCCAGAACAGUUCCCUCGCUUCUGUGGACAUCACUCUGCGCGGUGCUGGCACCCCACAGAAGGCUGGAGGGGCAGGAGUGGGCGGGGGGCUGCGUUUGGUCGGGGGCGUCAACUCUGGCAAGGCUAAGUUCCCCGCCACUCUGAUCUGGGGAGCCACGGGAGAGCAGGAGUGGAAUGCUGGACUUACUACAGGAGUGGACUGGAAGAGCCUGACGCUGCCGGCCUGCCUGCCCAUCACCACGGACUACUUCCCCGAGGAGCAGUCCCUCCACAACGACUAUGUGGUGGCUGACUAUAACCUGCUGGUGGACGAACCUGAGGAGUCCGUGCGCAGACCACUCACCACCAAGAUGGUCUUCCUUGAAUUGGUGUCGCAACGGCUGGCUCAGGGAUUCCAGAUGAUAAUGCUGGCAGAGAGAGGCGGCGUCGGGGGAGCGGGAGGAGGGGAGCUUGUGUCGGGGAGUGCUUCCAGCUACUCUGGGGUGGGAUCCUUCAUUCGCAACCGCAGCCGCACCCACCACAACACCGUGACGCAGGAGUACCGCCUCUCUAUUGGUCGUAUUUUCCACAAGAUUCUUCUGUAUGGCUCCACCAUCACUGUUACUAUCUACAGACCCCGACACCCGUACCCUCAGCUGAAGCGUCAAUACAAGUACAGGUUCCGGGCGCCUGAGAUGAGCAGUUAUGAGGUGUCCUGGGUAGACUUCAGGACAGAGCGCCUCGAGACCUACAUGUGGAACCACCUCGACAACUACAUCUGCUUCCGGGGCGAGUCUCCAGAUUACCCACUCAUUGAGCCCCUCAAGUUCUGGCGGUUCCGAGUGCUGCUGGUGGGUGACUGCUUCAGAGGCCCCACACGGUCCAUCCUGGAGACUGACACACUGACUGACAUCUAUGGGAGGCCCAGCCUGGAUGAGCAGCAGGAGACAAUAGAAGGCUUCCUCAGGUUCCUGGAGAUCACUGUGCACCGCCUCAAGAAACCAGUCAACGCACGCAAGUCCCGGAAGGUGGGGGGAGGGGGUGCCAAGGGUGGGGGGGUGUUUGGGCGUCGCCACAGUCUGGCAGCGCCCAGCCUCCCCUCCUCAGGCACCAUCUUCACUGUGACCACGCCCUUCACCGCCACCGCUGCUGCUGGGUCCAGUGGCCAGAAUGUUGGUGGCAUACGGGAGAGGCUCGGAAGUAACCGUGUGCUGGAGCGACCACGACCAAGGGCAGGUAGCAGGGCAUCAGAGAGGCUGCGUUUCGAGGGUGGCUCGGCGCGGGAGGUGCACGCUGACCCUCCUGAGAUGAAGAGCUUGGUGGAGCCAGAGGAGGAGGCCAAGGAGGAAGGGGAGAACAAGAAGCUGGCACUGGGGUCCACACUGGGAGAGGUGGCUGAAGUGAUGAAGGACCCAGUGAGGGGCGUGUGUCUCCUGCAGCGACAGCCCUGCCUGCCGGCCCUCACCUUUGUGGCUGGCGACGCCACGGCCUGGGUGUGUGACCACGUGGAGGGGGCCGCAUCAGAGACUGCUGCUGUGGAACUCCUGCAGAAAAUGGUGAAGAGUGAACUAAUUUGCCAUGCCUCGGGGAACAAAGACCAUCCCUUCGUGCACGGCUUCUUCCUCUACUUCUUCGUCACUGGGAACAAAGAGCAAGACCAGGUGAGCCUCGACCAACUGUCCUUCCUCAAUGAGUGGCAUCAGGUGGAGGUGGAGCCGCUUCCCUCGCCACCCCGCCAGGUGCCCUCCACACCCCCGCCCUGUCCCACCUUCCUUCAGGCCGACCUGCCGCUGCCCAUGCCCCGCAGAGGACGCUUCAAGUUGUACCGCACAGGACACUUGGAUCUGGACUGCAACAACAGGAGUGACCGUAUAGAAUGGGGCCACAUCAAGUACCACUCAGUCUUCCACCCACAGCAGGCAUAUGAAGUCAUCGUGCAGUGGCUGUGUGCGACGGGGACCAUUGUGACAGACCUGAUGGUGACAUGGCAGAGGAAGGCACAGGCAUGCGGGCUGCACCUGUUCCCUGUGCCAAGCGACCCCUUUGCUCUGCCUUACUCCUGCAACUCAGACCCCCUGCGUGGCCCCAUCCUAGUGCCCCUCAAUGUGUCCUGCUUCACCCUGCCUGGCUCGGAACCCUUUGCACAGUUCCCGGCAGACACUUGGGGCCGCCGCAUGCAUCUCUUCCAGGAGGCAAUCUUGGAGAGGUUCGGGUUUGUGCCAUACGUGACUGACACACACACCACUGACCCCAACCAGUUUGUCCACGUGACGGGCAAUAUGUUCAUUAUGAUCCACUCCCCUGGCUCCUGUGCCCUCCCCUACACCCCAGAGCCCCCCACCCGUACCCGGACCUUCUCUACCUCCUCCGCCUCGCAGCUCAACCAGCCCGGAUUCCUGUGGACCUUCAACUACAUGCUAACCAGGCGAUGGAAGGUGCCUCAGAUAUCUGGAGACGAGGUGCUUGCCGAGAAGAUGCUGCACGACUUCCGCCUCUUCUGCGCCAAUGACCGGAACAGACUCAGGGACUUCUGGGACUCGCACCUCCCCCUCCUUGCCCCGACUUCCCCCACUGAUGACCUAAUGAGUGAACCUUAAGUGUUGGGUUGUAAUUUGAGGCACUUUCCCCAUGGUGCCUCUGCAUCUUUCUAAAGGCUCUGGAGAAAUGCUCUUGAGAACCUCCACGACUUUCACAAGGCUCUAGUUGAAGUAGAGAAGGGGAAAGAGAAAGAUAAUGAUGAUGAAGAGGACAAGAAAGAAGAUUAUGAUGAUGAUGACAAAAAAGUGAUACUCUAUUCAAAUAAAUAAUAAGUAAUAGAAUAUCACAAUAUCCUAGUUUAGUCAUACAUAUACCAUACAAAAGCUAUGUAUAUUGUUGCUAUAGUAUGAUAUAUUUUUGCUGCUCAAUAUUUAGUGUGUAUGGAGUUAGUAUGUUGAAUGAUUGGUGUGUGUGUGUGUGUGUGUGUGUGUUGUUGAAGAUUUUAGUUAAUAUAUUUUUGUUUUUCUGCUUAUCUAUGGAAAAUUUGUGUUGAUGAUGAUGGCUGUUUGAAAAAAUAGUAUUGAUUAUCUUUUCCCUUUUCCAUUUUUCUCAUUUCUUCUUUCCUCCAUGUCCUUUCUUUAUAUUCCUUUGUCUUUAUCUUUCCUCAUUUUCCUUUAUUCUUCCCAUUUUUCUUUCUUUUGUUUCCUUCCUUUACAUUUUUUAUCCCGUCUUUCUCAUUUCCUUGUAUUUAUUUUGUUUUCCUUUAUAACUCUUUUGUCCUUUCUCUCAUUUCCUUGUAUUUCUUUUGUUUUCCUUUCUCUCUCCUCUUUAAAAUUUAUCUUUUGAAUUUAGGAUGAAAGGCAAGGUGUGUAUACUCUUCCCUGGUGCCAGUAUAUUAUGGUUUGUAUUAUGUAUCAUCAUGUAUUUUCACUAUUUUCCUGUAUCUUGUACCUCUUGUGUUUUGGUGGCCCUUAGAAAUUACUGUACUUUUUAUUUUGCUUUAUUGGAUUGACGUUUAUUUUAUUUUGUGUGAAUUUCAUUUUGUUUUUGUGUAUCCUUUCAAUUGUUUUUCGAAGUCAGUUGUGGAAGAUCAGGAUUACUUAACUUGCCGAAUUCAUAUGUUCCUAAAAUGAUGUCUAGAUUAUUCUCUCUCUCUCUCUCUCUCUCUCUCUCUCUCUCUCUCUCUCUCUCUCUCUCUCUCUCUCUCUCUCUCUCU
rnacentral:misc_RNA from 1 species